rnacentral:rRNA from 1 species
AAACUUUCAACAACGGAUCUCUUGGUUCUGGCAUCGUGAAGAACGCAGCGAAAUGCGAUAAGUAGUGUGAAUUGCAGAAUUCAGUGAGUCAUCGAAUCUUUGAA